AGAGUUUGAUCCUGGCUCAGAUUGAACGCUGGCGGUAUGCUUUACACAUGCAAGUCGAACGGCAGCACGGGGCAACCUGGUGGCGGGUGGCGAACGGGUGAGUAACAUAUCGGAACAUAUCCGGAAGUGGGGGAUAACGUAGCGAAAGUUACGCUAAUACCGCAUAUGCCCUGAGGGGGAAAGGGGGGGAUCGCAAGACCUCUCGCUUUCGGAGUGGCCGAUAUCGGAUUAGCUAGAUGGUGAGGUAAAGGCUCACCAUGGCGACGAUCCGUAGCGGGUCUGAGAGGACGACCCGCCACACUGGAACUGAGACACGGUCCAGACUCCUACGGGAGGCAGCAGUGGGGAAUUUUGGACAAUGGGCGCAAGCCUGAUCCAGCCAUACCGCGUGAGUGAAGAAGGCCUUCGGGUUGUAAAGCUCUUUCAGCCGGAAAGAAAUCGCACUUUUUAAUACGGAGUGUGGAUGACGGUACCGGAAGAAGAAGCACCGGCUAACUACGUGCCAGCCGCCGCGGU
rnacentral:rRNA from 1 species